rnacentral:lncRNA from 1 species
GAAGACUGAAUCCUAAGGGAAUAAUAUAAGUAACGGUUUACCAAACAUUAAAUAUGUGACUCUGGGGGGAGUUGGGUAUUGAGUCUGAUUAGUUUACUAUGAUUGUAAUAAAAAUGCUUAAGUUAUCUGAUAUAAGAGCAUCAUCUACGUCAUAACUUCCGUACGUCUGAUGCCUUUAUGAGAUGGAACCACUUGUUUUUCUUCAUGUUGUAAUAUAAUAGGCAUUUAUGUAUUGCUGUGUACCAUUUCUUUUUAAAUGUGUAAGUCUUCUGUAAAUGGAUAUAAAUAUGAUUUUUUAAAAAAAUAAAAUAUAUGGUUCAUGGAGUCUCGAGUGCAAACUGAACAAUUCCAAGUACUGUUUGUAUUUUACCAUUUCACCAUUUAUACGGUUUUUUGAAUUGUAAUGGUCAAUCAAUAUGUUCCUUAGAAGUGUGUUUCAUGCUUCGACAUGCUUCUCCUUCAAGUCUGUCAAACCUUAAAGCUGAACACCUGCCUCUGAUCAUGUGAUUAAACCUGGAGCCCAAAAUGACCUUUAAAGGCCAUCAGGGAUGUGACACCCUCUCUCUCUCCUUACAGAAGCACUGUGAUGGCUCAACCUGUUUCAAAAGAAAACAAAGCCAAACUGUUUACAAGAGUCAAAUGCAAUGAUUUUAACAAUUUAUAUUAUGAAAACCAUUACCUAAUUUUGUUGCCUGUGGACCAAGAAACACACACACACACAAACACACAUGCAUAUACACACACUUUACUAAAAACUACAUGUUCAUUCAAAUAGCCAACACUGGACAGUGAAUGUCAACCAUUGUAGAGUCUGAGUUCCAUUUCCACUGGGGUGUGGGGUGGAGGGGCAGAACCCCAUAACCUACCCCCAUUUUAAAAAUCACUGUUAACAGGGCAUUAGCCAGACUCAAGUCUGUUAUUACGAGCCUUUAGCUGAAAUAACCAUUUUUUUGUGACUUCCCUGAAUUCACUUUCAUCAGAGGAAAUAAAGACAGAAUGAUUAACAUAUAUAGUGUAUAAAAAGUAAAGAUGAGUAAUCUCUUCCUUGUGGCUUUAUUCGGUGGUGUCACUGCUGUUUAUUCUUUAUUGAUAUGGGAGAUUUCAAAGUGGAACCUAUUUAAUAAUACCAUUGAUCUGUUUCCCUGCUGCUUGGUCUUAAUGCAAGACCCGUCAUUAGUAAAUUAUUAUUAAUUUUUUGUAUUUCAAUUCGUUGUAUUUGCACGUACAUUUGUUUCGAUGUCUAUUUUUGUUGAACAGAUUCAAUCAAACGGUAAUGGUAACAGAAAACCUCUCCAUUAUCAAUAAAACAACAACAACAACAACAAAUGCCUCCAGUUUCCUGCUUAAGCUUUGUUUUCUAGUAGCCUGACAUUUAACGAUUUAUUUCGAUUACCAAGAAAAUCAUUCAACGAUUUCAAAUGCGAUUCUAUUCAAAAUUGAGUCUGCCACUAGAGGGAGGUCUAAACCAGCUGAUAGAGGUGGCUUGGCUUUUUUUUUUUUUUUUUUUUUAAUGUUGCUUGAGUAAAGACAAUGUGAAAGAACAUUGAAACUCUCGAUUCAUCAAAAUGAAAUAGAUAAGAGAAACUCUGAUACCUGCAUGGCAGAAAGAUUUAUACUCGUAUUUAGAUACCUGUGUGACAAACAGUUGUGCAUAGCUGUAGUGCAACCCUUGUGAUAAUUAACUUACAAGGAAGAACAUUUUAUUUUGUCCCAGCGCAUUUGAUGUUCCGUCUCAAGAACCGGCAGUCUGCAGGCUUUGGGGUCGAGUGGCGUGGUCGGAAGCCUGUACCAGAGGAAACUGUUCACUUCCUUGACAGGAGACAUGGAGCCCGGUGCUGCUGCUGCUCAGCUCGGGACACAUAAGAGGGCACAUUUCUGUGACCUGAACACUUAGCAUCAGCAUUAUCCUGGCCACGCAUUCAGCACAGAAGCUUUUGGGGGAAUAAUCAAUAUCCAAUUAGGUAAACCACUCACACUGUCACCUAAAGCAGUCUCGUCUUUUUAGAAAUCACCUACAAAAUACUGAUCAUCUGUCAUAGACCCCGAUAGUGUGAUACAAAGUAUCAAAUUACUUUCCUUGAGAAUUAUGUAAAAUAUUGCUUAAUGUAUAAGAAAAUUGUAGUCAGCUAUAUUUCUGGGUGUUUUGGUUUUGGUUUUCCCCUUUAGCCAUCAAUGUUAGGAAUUCAAACAUGUUAGAAUAUCAGAUCGGACCCUUUCAAACACAACUUUAUAUAAGUAAAACAACCUUUUGGCG